rnacentral:rRNA from 1 species
AUACGGAGGAUCCGAGCGUUAUCCGGAUUUAUUGGGUUUAAAGGGUGCGUAGGUGGUUUGAUAAGUCAGCGGUGAAAGUUUGCAGCUUAACUGUAAAAUGCCGUUGAAACUGUCGGACUUGAGUGUAAAUGAGGUAGGCGGAAUGCGUGGUGUAGCGGUUAAAUGCAUAGAUAUCACGCAGAACUCCGAUUGCGAAGGCAGCUUACUAAGCUACAACUGACACUGAAGCACGAAAGCGUGAGGAGCAAACAGGAUUAGAUACCCUGGUAGUCCACGCAGUAAACGAUGAUUACUAGCUGUUUGCGAUACACAGUAAGCGGCACAGCGAAAGCGUUAAGUAAUCCACCUGGGGAGUACGCCGGCAACGGUGAAACUCAAAGGAAUUGGCGGG